rnacentral:rRNA from 1 species
UACGUAGGGGGCAAGCGUUGUCCGGAUUUAUUGGGCGUAAAGAGCGUGUAGGCGGUUAGGUAGGUCCGUUGUGAAAACUCGAGGCUCAACCUCGAGACGCCGAUGGAAACCAUCUGACUAGAGUCCGGAAGAGGAGAGUGGAAUUCCUGGUGUAGCGGUGAAAUGCGCAGAUAUCAGGAAGAACACCCGUGGCUAAGGCGGCUCUCUGGUACGGUACUGACGCUGAGACGCGAAAGCGUGGGAGCGAACAGG